UUUCUUUCACUGGUAGGGGUUGCUGGGAAAUGUCUGGCCCUGUGUUGAGCAGUUGGAAUGAUGUGUAAGGGGUGUGCUUUGUUACAGGUGGAUCUACAAAGGGAGAUAUAAUUGGAGGCAAUUUUUGCUCUGGGUUUCCUCCUUAGAGCCACCAGCCUUCCACCAAAGGCAGGCAGAGGGAAAACUGUGCCAGCAGCCGAGGGGGGUGCUUGGCAAAGAUUUGAUGGGAAAUCGGAUGAGUCUACAAGUGACAAUACAAUUGGAGGCAAAGCUUUGAGAAGGGCCUCCUUCUAAUAGGGAAUGGGGAAGUUGUACAAUUGGCAAUGGGAUUAGAAGCAACGCUUUGAGCUAGGCCGCCUCCUUAAAACCACCAGCUAUACAGCAAAGGUGCAGGAAUUUGGGAAAGGAAGGAAGAGAGUAGCCCACAGAGCCACUUGUCUGGGAACGGUCUAGUUGGAAAUCGGGUAAGUGUGGCUUUAGCAGGCAUACGACGGUGUGUGUGUGGUGAUCUGGCUGGGGUAAGUAUGCAAGAGCUUUUGUGUCUGGUGAUUUUUCUUUUGUUUUGGGCACUGGUGGUGGUUGCAGGAACUAUGCUGCUGUAUAGUUUGAUUCGUGAGUAAUGCGUGUGCUUCGUUACAGGAGGUUCUUCAAUUGGCAUUGGGAUUAGAGGCAAGGCUUUGAGCUGGGCCUCCUUCUUAAAGCCACCAGCUAUACAGGAAAGGCAAAGGAAGAGAGCAGCCCACAGAGACACUUGCCCGGGAACAGUCUCAUGGGAAAUCGGGUAAGUGUGACCUUUGAGGGCGUGUGUGGUGAGCUGGCUGGGGUAAGUAGGCAAGAGUCUUUGUGGUUGGUGAUUUUUUUUUUUGGGGUGCACUGGUGGUGGUUGCAGGAACUGUGCUGCUGUGUAGUUUGAAUUGAGAGUAAUGCGUGUGCUUAGUUUCAGGCGGUUCCUCAGUUGAGAUGGGCCUCCUUCAAGCCACCAGCUACACAGCAAAGGGGAAAGGAAGAGAGCAGCCAACGGGCGCUUUCCUGUGAACGCUUACAUUUACCCCUUUUCCUCUGAGACGUUUGCGGAGUAUGCAGCCGUGUCGUGAGCUGAGUAGGGUAAGUAUGCAAGAGUCUUUGUGUCUGGUGGUUUUCUUGCACUGUUGGCGGUUGAAGAGGGACUGUUUACCCUACAUUCAGCAGUUUGAAUUGUGUGUAAUGCGAGUGCUUUGUUACAGGAGGUUUUUUCAAUUGGCAAUGAGAUUAGAGGUAAUGCUUUGAGAUGGGUCUCCUUAAAGCUGCCAGCCAUUCAGCAAAGGUGCAGGCAGAGGAGAAACGGAGGGCUCAGCGAACGGGCACUUUGCUUGGGAACGGUCUCAUGGGAAAUCAGGUAAGUGUGACCUUUGAGGGCAUGUGCGGUGAGGUGGCUGGGGUAAGUAUGCAAGAGUGUUUGUGUCUGGCUUUUUUUUGUGCACUAGUGGUGGUUUCAAGAACUGUGUUGCCAUGUGUUGAGCAGCUUGAAUUGUGUAUAAUAUGUGUGCUCUGUUACAGGAGGUUCUUCAAUUGGUGAUGGUUUUGGAGGCAAGGCUUUGAGCUGGGCCUCCUUCUUAAAGCCACCAGCUAUACAG